rnacentral:tRNA from 1 species
GGAAAAAUAGUCACAAGGUAAGACACAAUACUUGCUAGGUAUUGGUUCCAUCAGGAACAGAAGGGUUCGAUUCCCUUUUUUUCCG